CCUACGGGUGGCAGCAGUGAGGAAUAUUGGUCAAUGGGCGGGAGCCUGAACCAGCCAAGUCGCGUGAGGGAAGACGGUCCUAUGGAUUGUAAACUUCUUUAGGCGGGGAGCAAUGCCGGGCACGUGUGCACGGAGGGAGAGUACCCGCAGAAUAAGCAUCGGCUAACUCCGUGCCAGCAGCCGCGGUAAUACGGAGGAUCCGAGCGUUAUCCGGAUGUAUUGGGUUUAAAGGGAGCGUAGAUGGGUUGUUAAGUCAGUUGUGAAAGUUUGCGGCUCAACCGUAAAAUUGCAAUUGAUACUGGCAGUCUUGAGGACAGUUGAGGAAAGCGGAAUUCGUGGUGUAGCGGUGAAAUGCUUAGAUAUCACGAAGAACUCCGAUUGCGAAGGCAGCUUACUAAACUGCCACUGACAUUGAUGCUCGAAAGUGUGGGUAUCAAACAGGAUUAGAUACCCUUGUAGUC
rnacentral:rRNA from 1 species